GCUGAUUUGGCCGAGUGGUCUAAGGCGGUGGUUUUAAGAUGUGUAGACAUCACCAUUAUCGAGAGAUGCGUGAGUUCGAACCUCACAGUCAGCA
rnacentral:tRNA from 2 species